GGAAGUUGUGAGGCAGGGAAAGCAAAGAUCAAAGCUGUUGCUCAACUGAGGCAGUGUCUGAAUGGCUCAGUUGUCUCCAGAGGGAAGGUUUGGUCUCCAGUUAUUCUGCAACAUGUUCCACUCUUUUGGAAGCCUGAAGAAAAGCCCAGGUGGGACAUGGGGGAAGCAGCGCUAGACCUGCAGUAAGAUCUAUAACCUCAAAGGAGCCAACCCAUGUCUUGUGGUCUGUGCGUGUGUGGCACCCAGCCCCAGGCCACCCACAACAUGUUCCUUUGCACCUGCUGGUAGGUCUCUGGUCUGCGACAUUGUGGUCCCAAAUUGAGGUCAAAGAGGUAGCAGUGUUGAGCCUGGAGCUCAAAACGAAGGCUCCUUCUCAAAGGACACUUUUGUACCUCUCUGUAGCGACUUUGGUAAGUCCUCUCCCUUUUUUUUUCACAGCCGAAAAAGUCCUGCCAAGAAGAAAGUCUACAGGGCCUGCUCACAUUCCAGCAACACUCUGGCCUCCAGAAGUCCCUUUCACAGCACACAAUAUGGCAUUGUGAUUAGAUAUAAACUGAAAGUGUAUUUCUUGCCCUUCAGUAAUUACACUGGCUUAUGGGAGCUUUAUUCAGCAUGAAGCCUUAUUAUUCUGCAGAAUGAAAUUCUGUAUAAUUUUCCUCUCCUCCAACGCGCAGAUGAAAAAUCAUAUUUUGGUCCGAGUUGGGAAGAAAAGCUCAGUUAUCACUUGAGAGCGUGGUGUUAUUUUCCCCCGGAAUUAAAAAAUCCAUCUGGGUGUACGACCCCGUUCACCCUCCUGCCUCUCCAUUCAGCCUUUUGUAUGCAUAUGAACCUUAUCAAUUUCCACCGCUGCAGAAAGGUGAACCAAAACAGCAUGCCUCCCCCAGUCCUCCUCACUCUAAUGGAAACCGUGUGAGCUGGAGCAAUAAAUGGAUGUAAACCCUCUGGCUCCACCAAGAAGAGGAGGAAGGAGCAGAUGGAAAGCCUGUUUUAUCACUGCUGCCCAUCAGCAGGGGCACUAGCAUCAAUGCAAUCCCAUUGUCAGCACAGGGAUGUCAGGACAGCCUGGUUGUGUGCAUCACAGCAGCUUCAAUCAAGGCCUGAUUCUAAAAGCAAUAAGAACAAGUAAGGCAGCUUCCUUCACUUCAUUUGCUAAGCUCUUGGCCACUGGUAUCUGGAGUCCCUUACACAGGCACAGCCCAACUCUCAUCCCCUAUCAACCUGUUUCUUAGCACAGCAGACACUUUCUUCCUGAAUCUCAUGUACCAGUCAUGGUCCAAAGAAGAGCAGGAGACCGCUCUGUAUUAUUUCCAUGUCCAAAUUAAUUGUUCAUAUUAGCAGACAUUCAGGUUCUCCAGUCUCCAUACAACACGCCUUCACAGCUGCCCCAUCCAUUUCUCUAUGAGCCAUUUUCACGGCCCCCACCAGCACUGAUCUCAGAACACCUCCUGUCCUAUCCACAUCUUGGGCGACUUAAAUGUCUACCUGUGACCACAAAUACCUCCAGUUCCAAAGGGUGCAGCUCCCUCUGAAGCCAAAACACCCUGGAGAAGGGAAAGGAUCAAAGAAAGGCGAGGACACAAGAGACAGCUGAUGAGGGGAAAAACACAGCAUUGUGCUGGUGGGGAAAUUCUUCAGCCUUCACGUUUGAAAGAGGCUUUGCUUGGCUGGACAGCAAGCACUGUCUGUUCACCAGGCUGAACAUCCUCUGCCUCCAAUAUAGAUGUCACCAGCUGCUUUGGGAUCACUUGGGCUCCUCGUAUGUUCCUUCUUGCUCUCCGAUGCAGCCUUCCUGUAAAAGCAUCCUCCUCUUUGGGAUUUUCUUCCUAGAAAAGCUUUAGAAGGCAAUUUUGUAGGAGUGACUCGAGUGCGGAGCAAAGAUGAGCUCUGACAUAGGUCAAAGUGUGUGACUGAAUCAAGACUUCUGAGUUCAAGAAUCUCUUCUGGCACAGGAGGUGAUCACAGCCACUGGAAGCCGGGCUUUUUUUACCCACAAACUCUGAUGAGGGGUUUUGCACUAUGGCAGGAGCAACAAGCACCAAUAAGGGAGAUACUCAUCCUGCUCUUGAAGGAACAAGCCUGAAGUUUUAUCCGCUGUCUCUUGGUGCCCAGAAGUUGUUUCAAGGAGCGUGGAAAGAUCUCAUUAUAUUGUCAGUAACAAAUAUUUAUGGUUUUCUUCUUUAAAUAAACAUAGUCAGCCUCCCUGGAGGUGUUCCAGAGCCAUGGAGAUGUGGCACUGAGGGACAUGGUCAGUGGGCAGGGUAGGAUGGGUUGGGAUUGAUGAUCUUAGAGGUCUUUUCCAACCUUAAUGAUUCCAUAGUCAAAAAGAAAACGAAAGAAGAAAAAAGGGAAAGAAGGAGAAGCCAAAAAAGACAUCCCAGAAUCUCCAACUUUCCUGGAUUUCUGAAGAGGUAAGGAAAGGCAUUUUCAGUAUCUAUGAAUUCUCCCUGCGCCCAUGUUAGUCCACGGCUGUCCUUGUGCAUGAAGUGAGUUAUUACCAAACUGAAAGACCUCAGCUUCACGCCGGAGGGGGCUUUUGUCUUUCCUUUCACGCCAGCUCCAGGAGCCUCUCAGCCAAGCCUCCUGAUGGCAUGUGCUGUGCUUACCUGUGAUUUAUUGAUGAUAAUCGUGGGGCAAGCCAUUUGUAAUCGGACGUACAACAAAGACAUUCUCGCGCUGAGAGGGAGUGAUAACGCACCAUUUAGUAAUUUUUGUGCAGUCAGUAAUUUGGAGAAUGAAUGAUAAUUUCCCCAACUGAAAACCUGCAAUGACAACCCUUAGUGCUAUUCACCUCGUGAAUAAAGAUACCUUCCUCUCCA